rnacentral:rRNA from 1 species
GAGACAGCAGUAGCCGCGGUAAAACGUAGGGUGCGAGCGUUAAUCGGAAUUACUGGGCGUAAAGCGUGCGCAGGCGGUUUGUUAAGACAGAUGUGAAAUCCCCGGGCUUAACCUGGGAACUGCAUUUGUGACUGGCAAGCUAGAGUAUGGCAGAGGGGGGUGGAAUUCCGCGUGUAGCAGUGAAAUGCGUAGAUAUGCGGAGGAACACCGAUGGCGAAGGCAGCCCCCUGGGCCAAUACUGACGCUCAUGCACGAAAGCGUGGGGAGCAAACAGGAUUAGAUACCCGGGUAGUCCCUGUCUCUUAUAC